rnacentral:rRNA from 1 species
CCUACGGGAGGCAGCAGUAGGGAAUAUUGGGCAAUGGGCGGAAGCCUGACCCAGCCAUGCCGCGUGCAGGAAGAAGGCGUUAUGCGUUGUAAACUGCUUUUUUAUAGGAAGAAGGAUCCCUUGCGAGGGAAGGUGACGGUACUAUAAGAAUAAGCACCGGCUAACUCCGUGCCAGCAGCCGCGGUAGUACGGAGGGUGCAAGCGUUGUCCGGAUUUAUUGGGUUUAAAGGGUGCGUAGGCGGUUUAUUAAGUCAGUGGUGAAAGACGGUCGCUCAACGAUUGCAGUGCCAUUGAUACUGGUAGACUUGAGUGAGAUUGAGGUAGCUGGAAUGGAUAGUGUAGCGGUGAAAUGCAUAGAUAUUAUCCAGAACACCGAUUGCGAAGGCAGGUUACUAAGUCUUAACUGACGCUGAGGCACGAAAGUGUGGGGAUCAAACAGGAUUAGAUACCCGGGCAGUCCACACUGUAAACGAUGAUGACUAACUGUUGGCUUUCGGGUCAGUGGUACAGAGAAAUCGUUAAGUCAUCCACCUGGGGAGUACGCCGGCAACGGUGAAACUCAAAUGAAUUGACGGCUGAGACGNGCGAGACGACGACGAGGGAGGAGG